CUUUAAUAUAUUAUCAUCAUACUGACUGGUUCCUAAAACAUGGCCAGCUAGCAACCCCAACCCCAACAUAUAUAUAUAAAUUGAUGUGGAGGAAAUUAAUGUUAAUUGAACAAAUGAGUGGGAGAACGUUGGUGUUGAUAUUGUCCCUUUGGGCUGUCCUUACUAUCGUGACCCCUAUCCUUGUCCGCCUGUCUGCUUCUGCCACACCAAAAGGCGAAUUUUUCGUCAUUACACACACUACUGCUAGUGAGAAAGUGAUGGGGUUGCUGCCAAGAAAGGCGCUUGUUGCACAACCAUCAAAUAAACGCCAUUUUGAGGUUGAAGACAUCAAUUAUUCUUCGCUGCUUUUUCGGUUGUUUUAGACAUAGCUUUUCAUCUAUACAGUAUAUAUAUACACACAUACCAAAUAAAUAAAUUGCUACUUUCUUCUAAACU